UGAAAGAGAAUAUUAGUUUUAUGAGAGGUUUGUUGAUUGCAUUCAACGAAGGAAUUCAUACUGAUAUUCUUCUUAUGCCCAAUUCCGGUCCUCCUGUUCCUGCCCACAAAGCUUUGCUGGUGAGUAAAUAGUAUUAAUCAUAUAUAUCUAUGAUUAUGCAUGUACGUAUGUAACAUUCUAUUCAUCAUUGAUUAAAUUGCAGGCGACCAAAUCUGAAAUUUUGAAAACCAUGUUGGAGUUCGAUGAGUACUGCGGCAAGGCUCCGGUGAAAGAUACGAUCUCUUUUCCGGAACUUAACCACGAUCAACUUCGAUCACUGGUGGAGUUCCUUUACGCGGGUACAUUGGC
rnacentral:lncRNA from 1 species